CCUGGCUGGUCCCUCAGCCUCCGCCCCCUCAGGAAAGCUCUCCAGAAGGGCCUGAGGAACAGUGUCUCCCAUCUCUCCCUCUGCAGGCCCGCAGCUCCGGCACCCGCAUCCAACCUCCCCCGAAGCCAACCUCCCCCGAAGCUGCUGAGCAGCCACGUCACAAUUCUGACCACAGCGAGCCCCGCCCCAUGUCACCAGGGGCCAAAAGUGAGCCCAUUCCUAACACCAGGAGGAGUCCGGACAGCACGCACGGCCGGCCCGUCUUAUCCAUCCGGGUCUGAGGAAGCUGGAAUUGGCUUCUGGCUGGAAAUGAGCGCUGUCAAGGCACGUGGCAGAAAGUCGCAUGUGACAGAACAGACAUGAAAAGCACAAACCCGAUGCCCCCAAGAAGUAACACAGAAUAAAAACAUCAAAUAGAAAUGGCCAGAAAAGGCUGGAAGAUCCAUCGUGACCUCCCAGGAAGGGGUGAAUUUGUAAAAGAGCCACUGAUACCUGCUUCUGAGAAGAAACAAAGCCGGGAUGUGUGGACCAGCUCUCGAGGAGCAGAGCCUGAGUAAAGUGAGGAAGAGGCCAAGUGACAUCUGGGAGAACCUGUCCGAGGCAACGGGAUCCUGAGAGGGAUCCCCGAGACCAUGUCAGAUGGAAGAGCAAGGUGCAGCAGAGGCUGUGGCCCAAUGCCAGCUCGUGAAGGAGGGAAAGGUAGAGCAUCAAAGUCGGCAUGCCUGCCAGCCUCUCCCCCGCCGACUGCCUGGGAUGUUUUCAGCCAAGACAACAUUUGGGAAGAGCAUCCUAAGACCCUGGGAGCCCGCAGGACACAGACGGAAGACAGGCCCUGCCCUGUGUGCCCUUGUACCAUCUGAGUCUGUACCGUGUGCAUAAAACAAAGCACCACCACCUACCUGGAAGCCACAGACCGCGGCAGGGUCUCUUGGCUGCUGGCUCCAGGUGGAGGGCCUGGGGCCAGCACACUGUUCUUUAUUAGAUCUCCAAUAGAGACAAGCCCAAGGGGCUGGUGUGACAGAGGCCAUGCCCGUCUCGACGCUGCCCUGCUGCUCUCAGACCUCCCUCCCUGGCAUCGGGCUUAUUUUUUCUCUCUUCCUGCCAAAAACACAGCUGAGCAGGAAAGCAUCACCCUCCCUCCCUGUGGCUGCCUCUGAAACACUCGGAGUCCCUCCUGCAUCUGGGAUCCCCAGUGAACACAGGCGGGUAGCGUGAUGUGUGGCUCGAUGCCAUCCCUGGACCAGAGAACUCGAUUCCCUCUGCCGCAGACAUAGGAUGCUGGUGCGAAGAAGCCUGAGUGUCUCUCCAAAGUAAGCGUUUCUCACAAACUUGCUCAACGCAACAAGGAUUACAUUUUGAUGGGAAAGAUCAUCUGUUUUUAUUCUGAGAGACUUACAGGAAAACCAUCACGAUUCCGUAAGCUCUUGGUAAUAUCUUAGGAGAGUCGGUAAUAUAUCCCUGUUCUGCUGAGUUUCUACAACAAUACACUCAAGUGUUAAUACUUUGGAAGCUCCGAGGAAAACUUGCGCAAUUAUGGCGAAAACAAUUGUCGCGAUUUCUACAGAGAGCACAGCUGUCAGAUUCAGGUCGUGCGCGCUGGACCUGGACACCACCUGCACGAUGCUGUGACGCUCAGGCUUCACCGCCACGGUGCACGAGGUCUGCCGGCUCUCCCUUUGGUGAUGCCAACGUGGGUCAGCCUAUGAAGUGUUGUCUGAGUUCUCUGCUGCAUGGGUACUGUGUGCACCACUUUGAGAGCACACAAAUGCCCUGUCUCCCCACCCACCCUCCACCUUCACGGCAUCCACUGAAGACUCUGCUCGAAGCCAAUCUCCACCACGGUUCUUGGGCGGCAGUGAUGGUCUCCUUCUCCACACUUCUCCACCAGCUUCUCACUGUGUGGCCCAUGGCAGCCCCAGUGUCCCUUCUACAUCAGCCUGCCGGUAUUUCGUGUUUCCCACCAGUCCGCAUGGAAGACUCCAGCUCCAGGCCAAGCCAAGAGGUUUUCCAUGCCUUCCUCCACUCCGCACUUCUGUCUCCCUUCAUUCACAGGACAGCUGUGCCUCCCAACACCAUGACAUUGUCUACCCUUGUGGUCAAUCCCAGAAUGCACCCAGAAGAACCCUGCAAUCACAGCACCCUCACCCCCCUAGCCACACCUUCUGAGACAAGUUCCCGGUCAGUCUGCUCUUUCCUGGGCUACGGGUAUCAUCCGAGUCCUCGGUCUAGUCUCUGCUGUUAGCUUUUCCCCCUUCAACAGGGAUAUAUUAUUCAGCUGAAA